ensembl:lncRNA
AUUAACUCCAUUUUUGCUAUGAAUUAGGAAGCAAGGAUGUCUAUUUUCAAUAGAAAGAGAACAGUGAUGUCAUGUGGGGCUUCAACUGGUUGGGACACUAAUAGUAAAGAAAUAAGUAAAAUUUCUCGAAAGAGUUGAUGUCAGAAAUAGAAAUGAAAGUUGAAUCUAGGGACAAGCAAAAUGGUGGCCAAGUGGCACUGAGAGCUGGGAGGAUGGUUGGGCCAUACACUGCACCCUUCACUCACAUCAUCUCACCCAAUCUUGCCAACAGUCUAGCAAGAAGAGCUUAUUCUGACUUUCUGGAUGAGAAAUCCGAAGUCCACCGUGGGGAAGUACCAUGCACAAGCUCAUGAAGCUGGGAGGUGGUAGAGCCAAGAUUCCAGAGAUGAUGAACUUUCCCCUACAACAUGCCACUUGAGAUACAAAGAGGAAUAGAAUAUACAGUCGCUGCUCUCAGCUCUCACACACUAUUGGGAACAAAAGCAUAUAAAUAACUAUAAAACAAUGAGAUGAACGUGAAACUCGUUUAUGAGCAAAGUGCCGUGGGAAUAUAGGCUUGUAAAUUCUCCCAGGCGGCUGUAUAUUUACGGUCAGCAGGAAGGGAGAACAGGAAUGACGAAGGCAAGAUAUUAAUAAAAUCUCACGAUAAUACAAUGAGUAUCCUUCACUGCUACUUUAUUUUAAAAUAUGUAUCCAUCAUUUCUCAUUUUGAACCAGCAACUUCUUUAGUUAAUAUGUAGUUGGUUAUUAUGAGCCUGAUUUGCAGAUUUUUAAAAGUAGAGAGUUUAAGACUCAUAUAGUUAAAGUGAAGUGCUUCGAGAUACGAAAACUUUUACAUUUUGUAUAAGGAAUGAGGGAAAUAGGAAUUUAAAUGUAUAGUUAUAGACUAAGUGUAUAUAUAGAUAUAGCAAAGACUAUAUCUAGUUUUUGCACGAAGAAACGCUAGAAGGAAAAACCAAAAACCUCUCGGGUAGAGGUGUGGGGAACGAUUAGAAGGGAUAGGCAUAUAAAGACAUAAAGUAGAAUGGUAGUUGCCAGGGGCUGGGGCAAGGGUACAACGAGGAGUGGUUGUUUAAUGGGUUUAAGGGUUUCAAUUUUGCAAGAUGAAAAAGUUCUGCAGAUUGUUUGUACAACAAUGUGAAUACAUUUUACAUCACUGAACUGUACAGUCGAAAAUGAUUAAGAUGGUAAAUUUUGUUAUAGAUAUUUUACCACAAUUUUUAAAAAUCUGAAUCAAAACAGCAGUAUGAGCUCCUGAUUUUUAAAAAUAUAUUUCUUAGUGCUGUCCUUUGAAAGGACCAGAAGCAAUGGCAUCCUUAGUCUUGGUUUCUCAUGCCAUUUCCCACCAAAAGGACCAGAACUCCUUAGACAAAUGCCUGAUUUCAGUCCUGGGCAGAGAAAUACAAGAUGAGCCCAGGACAUCUUAAUGCACCAAAAAGCAGGAAAGCUCUGAAAGACUAAUGGGGAUGUGCCAAAAGGACACAAGAGCCAGGGUGAAGAGGCUCCCACUGGACAGAUCCAAACAAUCCGGACAUCAAAAGGAAUAACUGAUUGUAAAAUAUUAAAUUUUUAAAACUCGAUGAGUUCAUGGAGACAGAAAUUAUUACACCAACA